UGUUUGAAUAUGUUGUAUUGAUGUUUAUUGUGAUAUAAUGUGUGUAUAUCAAGCGGGGAGUGUUAUGCCUUUUGGUCAAAAGUCAGUAGUUAGUGCAUAGUCUGAUUAAGUUACAUAAGCAAAGUGAUAAAUAAGUUCAAAGUUAAGAAAUAUUAUAAGUGAUUCAUGCUAAAAACAGUUAAAAUGUAUGGGUUUGUAAUUUGCUCAGAGUGAGACAUCGUUAUCACAAGCGAUCUUUGCAUUGUAUGUGCGGAAAUGGGAGCGAGGGAGCGCUCUGAUCAUUAACCUAUCUUUGACGUAUUUUCUCCGUUAAUGCCGUGAAAAGUGUUUCGGCAGUAUUAAAAGAGUGAACGAGUUCAUGUACACGCUAAGAGUGCCCUACACGUUUGUGCCUUGGGAAACGUUCGUCUUUUUACAAAUAAGAAAUAGCAAGGAGAAGCCUUGAGAGAGAUAAGACUUUAAAGGAUCUUCAUUAAAAGCAAGAAAAGCAA